CAAGCAAGACUACCCGCUGAACUUAAGCAUA
rnacentral:rRNA from 1 species